rnacentral:RNase_P_RNA from 1 species
GAGUCGGCUGGGUGACCGCAGUUCGUCUCACCUUUAAAGACGAGACAAAUUGAGGAAGGUCGGGACUUCACAGGGCAGAGUGCUGGGAGAAAACCAGGCGUCGCGAGGCGACGGAAAGUGCAGCAGAAAGUAAACCGCCGAUGGAUUAGCAAUUGCUGGUCACAGGUAAGGCUGAAAGGGUGCGGUAAGAGCGCACCAGCGUGCAAGGUGACUUGUGCGGCUUGCAAACCCCACUCGAAGCAAGGUCAAGCAGGAAUCAGGCGGCCCGUCUAAUGAUUCCGGGUAGACCGCUGAGAUGGAUGGUCACACAAGUGAUUGAACUCACUGGACAGAAUCCCGCCUACAGGCUGACUCA